rnacentral:rRNA from 1 species
CUACGGGGGGCAGCAGUGGGGAAUAUUGCACAAUGGGCGCAAGCCUGAUGCAGCCAUGCCGCGUGUAUGAAGAAGGCCUUCGGGUUGUAAAGUACUUUCAGCGGGGAGGAAGGGAGUAAAGUUAAUACCUUUGCUCAUUGACGUUACCCGCAGAAGAAGCACCGGCUAACUCCGUGCCAGCAGCCGCGGUAAUACGGAGGGUGCAAGCGUUAAUCGGAAUUACUGGGCGUAAAGCGCACGCCGGCGGUUUGUUAAGUCAGAUGUGGAAUCCCCGGGCUCAACCUGGGAACUGCAUCUGAUACUGGCAAGCUUGAGUCUCGUAGAGGGGGGUAGAAUUCCAGGUGUAGCGGUGAAAUGCGUAGAGAUCUGGAGGAAUACCGGUGGCGAAGGCGGCCCCCUGGACGAAGACUGACGCUCAGGUGCGAAAGCGUGGGGAGCAAACAGGAUUAGAUACCCCAGUAGUC